UGAGCAACUUUCAAAGACGUUGCUGAGGUAAGCACCGUCUUAGUAAGCUGCUGACAUUCAAAGAUGGUGUUUUCCUCAGCACCGUCUUUGAAAUUUGCUCAC
rnacentral:pre_miRNA from 1 species